AAUGUUUAUGAUACAGAAAGGAGAGUUGCAGCUUAGAUCACUCUCCUUAGAAACCCGAGAAAGACCGUGGAUACCUACCAAGAUAAGGAUGCGAAAAGAGCCUAAAAGUAGGUUGCUUACUGAGUAUAUUUUUAUACUCACCCCUUUCUCCCUUUUUUUUCAGGUACCAGUCGAUACGGGGAGGUGUUCGAGAGCUGCACUGUCACAGAGGGCUGUCGUUCCGGAGCGUCAGUCUCUUGUCGGUCUUUUAGAGUCAUUUGUAUUUUUCUUCAUAUUUGUAU